rnacentral:rRNA from 1 species
GACGAACGCUGGCGGCGUGCCUAAUACAUGCAAGUAGAACGCUGAAGGAGGAGCUUGCUUCUCUGGAUGAGUGGCGAACGGGUGAGUAACGCGUAGGUAACCUGCCUGGUAGCGGGGGAUAACUAUUGGAAACGAUAGCUAAUACCGCAUAAUAGUAGAUGUUGCAUGACAUUUGCUUAAAAGGUGCAAUUGCAUCACUACCAGAUGGACCUGCGUUGUAUUAGCUAGUUGGUGGGGUAACGGCUCACCAAGGCGACGAUACAUAGCCGACCUGGGAGGGUGAUCGGCCACACUGGGACUGAGACACGGCCCAGACUCCUACGGGAGGCAGCAGUAGGGAAUCUUCGGCAAUGGACGGAAGUCUGACCGAGCAACGCCGCGUGAGUGAAGAAGGUUUUCGGAUCGUAAAGCUCUGUUGUAAGAGAAGAACGAGUGUGGGAGUGGAAAGUUCACACUGUGACGGUAUCUUACCAGAAAGGGACGGCUAACUACGUG